rnacentral:rRNA from 1 species
GCUAAGCCCUAAACAUUGAUUAGCCCCCUUACCACGCUAUCCGCCAGAGAACUACUAGUGAAAAACUUAAAACUCAAAGGACUUGGCGGUGUCCCAUCUCGGCCUAGAGGAGCCUGUCCUGUAAUCGAUACCCCCCGUUUCACCCGACCUUAACUCGCACAUUCAGCCUAUAUACCGCCGUCGCCAGUCUACCCCAUGAGGGCCUUUUAGUAGACACAACAGUCACAGCCCACUAGUACGUCAGGUCAAGGUGUAGCUAAUGUUAAGGCAGCGAUUGGCUACAUUUUUUGCCUCAAAAUAAACGAAAUGCAGAAUGAAACCCUGCACGAAGGUGAAUUUAGCAGUAAAAUGAAUAAGAGAGUUCAUUUUAACACCGCUCUGGGACGCGC